UACGAAGGGGGCUAGCGUUGUUCGGAUUUACUGGGCGUAAAGCGCACGUAGGCGGAUCGUUAAGGCGGGGGUGAAAUCCUGGAGCUCAACUCCAGAACUGCCUUCGAUACUGGCGAUCUCGAGUCCGGAAGAGGUGAGUGGAACUCCUAGUGUAGAGGUGGAAUUCGUAGAUAUUAGGAAGAACACCAGUGGCGAAGGCGGCUCACUGGUCCGGUACUGACGCUGAGGUGCGAAAGCGUGGGGAGCAAACAGG
rnacentral:rRNA from 1 species